rnacentral:rRNA from 1 species
GUGCCAGCAGCCGCGGUAAUACGAAGGGUGCAAGCGUUACUCGGAAUUACUGGGCGUAAAGCGUGCGUAGGUGGUUAUUUAAGUCCGUUGUGAAAGCCCUGGGCUCAACCUGGGAACUGCAGUGGAUACUGGAUGACUAGAAUGUGGUAGAGGGUAGCGGAAUUCCUGGUGUAGCAGUGAAAUGCGUAGAGAUCAGGAGGAACAUCCAUGGCGAAGGCAGCUACCUGGACCAACAUUGACACUGAGGCACGAAAGCGUGGGGAGCAAACAGGAUUAGAUACUCUGGGAGUCC